GACGAACGCUGGCGGCGUGCUUAACACAUGCAAGUCGUACGGUAAGGCCCUUUCGGGGGUACACGAGUGGCGAACGGGUGAGUAACACGUGAGUAACCUGCCCACAACUUUGGGAUAACGCUAGGAAACUGGUGCUAAUACUGGAUAUGUGCUCCUGCUGCAUGGUGGGGGUUGGAAAGCUCCGGCGGUUGUGGAUGGACUCGCGGCCUAUCAGCUUGUUGGUGGGGUAGUGGCCUACCAAGGCGGCGACGGGUAGCCGGCCUGAGAGGGUGACCGGCCACAUUGGGACUGAGAUACGGCCCAGACGCCUACGGGAGGCAGCAGUGGGGAAUAUUGCACAAUGGGCGCAAGCCGGAUGCAGCAACGCCGCGUGCGGGAGGACGGCCUUCGGGUUGUAAACCGCUUUCAGCAGGGACGAAGCUUUUUGUGACGGUACCUGCAGAAGAAGCACCGGCUAACUACGUG
rnacentral:rRNA from 1 species